UAUAACUUAGUUGGUCAAAGUGCCGGUCUGUGACUGUGAACAUGGGUUUAAAUCCCGUUA
rnacentral:tRNA from 1 species